rnacentral:rRNA from 1 species
AGAGUUUGAUCCUGGCUCAGAUUGAACGCUGGCGGCAUGCUUUACACAUGCAAGUCGAACGGCAGCACAGGGAGCUUGCUCCCGGGUGGCGAGUGGCGCACGGGUGAGUAAUACAUCGGAACGUGUCCUGUUGUGGGGGAUAACUGCUCGAAAGGGUGGCUAAUACCGCAUGAGACCUGAGGGUGAAAGCGGGGGAUCGCAAGACCUCGCGCAAUUGGAGCGGCCGAUGCCCGAUUAGCUAGUUGGUGAGGUAAAGGCUCACCAAGGCGACGAUCGGUAGCUGGGUCUGAGAGGACGACCAGCCACACUGGGACCUGAGACGACGGCCCAGACUCCUACGGGAAGCA